rnacentral:lncRNA from 1 species
CACAGGGCUUGGGUUGUCUCUUAUGGCUUGGAUGGGUGCAGAAUGGGAGUUUUGCUGUUUUUUGGUUUUUAAUGGAGAUUCAAAAUAGGGAAGGGACCCCAUGUUCCCAGAAGCUUCAGAGCUGCUUUAGAGCUUAUCAAUACUUCUUUUGGACUUUCAUAGUACUCUAGUAUUUCUGUGGAUGAAGAAUGUGAUGCAUUUUAAGAGCAAGUUAGAAAAAAUACAAAGAAUAAAUGUUGAUGCAAAUCCUUUAGAGGUUUUCUCAUAUUUUAAUAUUCAUUCUGGAGAUGCGAUCAGCAGUCCACGAAGUCCCCUUCUUCAGAUAUCACAGAUUAAACAGAGAUUUAAGACCAGGUAAUGAAUUUUUUUGUGUGUGUGAGAGGAAGAUGGGCCCUGAGCUAACAUCCAUUGCCAAUCUUCUUUUUGCUUGAGGAAGAUUGUCGCUAAGCUCACAUCUUGUGCCACUCUUCCUCUAUUUUGUAUGUGGGACACUGCCACAGCAUGGCUUGAUGAGCGGUGUGUAGGUCUGCACCCAGGAUCUGAACCUGCAAACCCUAGGCCACUGAAGCGGAGUGUGCAAACGUAGCACAAUGCCACUGGGCCCACCCCUCAGAUUAGCCCUGAGCUAACUGCCGCCAACUCUCCUCUUUUCGCUGAGGAACUGGUCCUGAGCUAACAUCUAUGCCCAUCUUCCUCUACUUUAUAUGUGGGAUGCCUACCAUAGCAUGGCGUGCCAAGUGGUGCCAUGUCCACACCUGGGAUCCGAACCCGCGAACCACGGGCUGCUGAGAAGCAGAACGUGUGAACUUAACCGCUGUGCCACCGGGUCGGCCCCUCCUGGGUUUGAUACUGUAUGCUGGUUAUCCAAGACAUAACCGUUGGGGGAAACUGGGACACUUGGUAGCAGUAAAAGGUUGCCCUGAACACUUGACAGAAAGUCAAAGGCAAGAGUAAUAGACAGAAAUACAAAACCUCGGGUCUUGGCUUUAUCACCUGGAGCUACAUAAUGCUGCCACCAAGCCUGCUGUUAGGGUUGUUCAAGUGCCAGCAUCAUUACAGGCCAGAAGACCCUGGAGCCCCUUCGCUGUUGGCCAUGUGACAGCCCCUCAGAUGGCAAAGGCAGACUUGUGGGCUGUCUACAGAUCCGGACACCUGGAGGCUCGGCUCUGUUCCAAGAGGUGAUUUAUGUAGGCAACACAACCCGAGGAGAGGAAAGCCUACGCGGCCCUUUAGACUUCACAUCUUCUUCUACGCCUGAUAGGACUUUCGCAUUUUACAACUGCAUAAUAAUUCUGUUAUUAGGAGGAAUGCCCCUUCAUGUGCCCCAAAUAAAAAAAGGAAAAGUUAAAACCAGAAGUCUUCCAAAACUUAACAUGUCGGUUUUCUCAGAUAGGAAAACCAGACAAGUUACCUCACAAGAAGCAUAGGCUGUGCCACAAACCUUGCUCUUAGUUUUCUUUCGGUCUGAGCGUCCUCAGAUGGGGGUAGGUGGAUGUCUCCAGUUCUACUGGGACUUUUGGAGAAAUUGAAGGAAGGGAACCUCAUUAGCAGAAGGACAAGGAACUAGUCCAGGCGAUAUCUGAAUAUUUAUUAUUUGACCUUAUCUUGAAUGGAAAGGAAAGGCUCUUUGUUCAAAAAACUUCUGACUGAUGCCUGUUCUUUGGACUUCCCUCAUUGCUUUAUAAAAAAAACCUAUUAAUUAACUUAGUGCCUGUUAGAAAGAAGUGAGCUUUCUCUGAACUCUCACAAUUGGUCAUUACUGCUGGUAAGAGAAGCAGCAUUAUGAUUUCCUUUUACAUAUGAAGAAAAUGACGUUCAGAUUAACUUUAUAAUCAUGCAAUAAAUAAUUUGGAGAUCUGGGACCCAAGCAAGCAAAGGGCUAUGGCAGGGAGACCUGGGCUUUUGUUCUGACUUUGCCUACAGCUCGAGGCCACCACUUUGGUCCUUAGUUUUCUUGCCUUAAAAUGGGUUCAGUGGAUUAGAUUGGGGUGGUAACCUUUUUCUGUAAAGGGCCAGAUGUAAACAUUUGUGGCUUUCUGGGCCAUCCAGUCUCUGCGGCAACUACUCAACUCUGCCACUGGAGAGUAAAAGCAGCCACAGACAACAUGUGAAACAAACGGGUGUGACAUUGUGCCAAUAAAACUUCAUUUGCAAAAAUAGGCAGCGGCAUGGAUUUGGUCCAUAGGCUGCAGUUUGCAGACCCCUGGACUAGAUGAUAUAGAAGUUUCUUCUACUGCUAAAAUUUUAUGAUUCAACUUGUUUUAAUGGCAAUGCUAUUUCCCUAGGAAAGUCAUCUUGAUUACACAAUCGUCUGCUGAUUAUACAGUUUAUGAGUACUUAAAUAUUUUUCUGAUGUUCAUUGUAGCAUGAUUCACAAUAGCCAAGGUAUGGAAACUACUUAAGUGUCAUCUGUUAAUGGAUGAAUAGAUAAAAAAGAGGUGGUGUAUAUAUACAAUGGAAUAUUAUUCAGCCAUGAGAAAGAAGGAAAUCCUGCUAUUUGUGACAACCUAGAUGGACCUUGAGGGCAGUAAGCUAAGUGAGCUAAGUCAGACAGAGAAAGACAAAUACUUACAUGUCGACCCUAAAAAAGCCAAACUCGUAGAAACAGAGAGUAAAAUAGUGGUUACUGUCAGGCUGGGGGGUGGAGAAUCGGGGAGAUGUUGAGCAAAGGGUACAAACUUGCAGUUGAAGAUGAGUAAGUUCUGGAGAUCUAACACACAGCAUAGUGAUUUAGCCAACACUAUUGUAUUAUAUACUUCAAAGCUGCUGAGAGACUAGAUCUUAAAUAUUCCCCUUACAAAAGAGAAAUGAUAAUUAUGUGAGUGCUAGAGGAUUUAGCUAAUGCUGUGGUGAUAAUCAUACUGCAAUAUACAAAAGUAUCAAAUCAAUACAUUGUACACCUUAAAUUUACACAAUGCUGUAUGUCAAUUAUAUCCAAUAAAAAGUA